GGGGCUGUAGUAGGUCCCAAGGGUUGGGCUGUUCGCCCAUUAAAGUGGUACGCGAGCUGGGUUCAGAACGUCGUGAGACAGUUCGGUCCCUAUCCGUCGCAGGCGUAGGAAAUUUGAGAAGACCUGUCCUUAGUACGAGAGGACCGGGAUGGACGUACCUCUGGUGUACCAGUUGUUCUGCCAAGGGCAUGGCUGGGUAGCUAUGUACGGAAUGGAUAAGCGCUGAAAGCAUCUAAGCGCGAAGCCAACUUCAAGAUAAGAUUUCCCACCGCAAGGGUAAGACCCCAGAAAGACUAUCUGGUUGAUAGGUCGAAGGUGUAAGUGCAGCAAUGUAUUUAGCUUAUCGAUACUAAUAGGUCGAGGACUUGACCAA
rnacentral:rRNA from 1 species